rnacentral:rRNA from 1 species
CGUGGCUAACCUGCCCUUGGGACAGAGACACCCCCGGGAAACUGGGGCUAAUCCGUGAUAGGCGAAGAACUCUGGAAUGAGUCUUCACCCAAAGGGCGUCUAGAUCAUGCUUCUAGGCGUUGCCCAAGGAUGGGGCCGCGACCGAUCAGGUUGUUGGUGAGGUAAUGGCUCACCAAGCCUAUAACCGGUGCGGGCCGUGAGAGCGGGAGCCCGGAGAUGGGCACUGAGACAAAGGCCCAGGCCCUACGGGGCGCAGCAGUCGCGAAAACUUUGCAAUACACGAAAGUGUGACAGGGUCAUCCCGAGUGCCGUCCGCUGAGGAUGGCUUUUAUCCAGUCUAGAACGCUGGAAGAAUAAGGAGAGGGCAAGUCUGGUGUCAGCCGCCGCGGUAAUACCAGCUCUCCGAGUGGUGUGGAUGUUUAUUGGGCCUAAGCAUCCGUAGCUGGCUGGGCAAGUCCCCUGUUAAAUCCACCUAUUUAAUCGUUGGUUUGCGGGGGAUACUGCUCGGCUAGGGGACGAGAGAGGCCGACGGUAUUUCCGGGGUAGGGGUGAAAUCCUAUAAUCCCGGGAAGACCACCAGUGGCGAAGGCUGUCGGCUAGAACGCGCCCGACGGUGAGGGAUGAAAGCUGGGGGAGCGAACCGGAUUAGAUACCCGGGUAGUCCCAGCUGU